AUAAAUAUCACACUAGUGCAGGACCCGCGCUUCACAGUGGGUAGUCAAUAAAAAUAUAUAAUUAUUAAAAUUUUAAAAUUAAAAAAUUAUAACUAAAUAAAAAAUAUAUAAAAUAGUGUUAUGUACAUUACAAAAAUUAACUUUUUUAUUAACGUUUUUUUAAAUUUUUGAAUAGUUAUAUUAUUCUAACAAUUUUAUUUAAAAAUUAAUUAAAUUUAAUAGUUUUGAAAACGGUUAUAUAAAUAACUUUUUUAACUAAAAAGUUAAAAUUGGGGAACUUAUUUUAAAUUGCCGAAAAGGCAAAAAUAUCUUUACCUUGUUAAAAUUGAUUGGAAAAAAAAUGUCUUACAUGCACAUGAUAUGUAUUAACAUUCUAUACACCACAACUUAUAUUCGAUAAUAAAUAUUUUGAUAUUGAAAUUUAAUUAAACAUAUAUGACCUACAAAGUUAAUAAUUUAAAUUCUAUCUAAUGAAUUGGAUUUUAAAAUAAAAAAUAAC
rnacentral:lncRNA from 1 species